UACGAAGGGGGCUAGCGUUCGCUCGGAAUCACUGGGCGUAAAGCGCACGUAGGCGGAUUGCUAAGUCAGGGGUGAAAUCCUGGAGCUCAACUCCAGAACUGCCUUUGAUACUGGCAAUCUCGAGUCCGGGAGAGGUGAGUGGAACUGCGAGUGUAGAGGUGAAAUUCGUAGAUAUUCGCAAGAACACCAGUGGCGAAGGCGGCUCACUGGCCCGGUACUGACGCUGAGGUGCGAAAGCGUGGGGAGCAAACAGG
rnacentral:rRNA from 1 species